GAUGAACGCUGGCGGCGUGCUUAACACAUGCAAGUCGAACGAAGCACUUUAACCUGAUUCUUCGGAUGAAGGUUUUUGUGACUGAGUGGCGGACGGGUGAGUAACGCGUGGGUAACCUGCCUCAUACAGGGGGAUAACAGUUAGAAAUGACUGCUAAUACCGCAUAAGACCACAGAGCCGCAUGGCUCGGUGGGAAAAACUCCGGUGGUAUGAGAUGGACCCGCGUCGGAUUAGGUAGUUGGUGGGGUAACGGCCUACCAAGCCAACGAUCAGUAGCCGACCUGAGAGGGUGACCGGCCACAUUGGGACUGAGACACGGCCCAAACUCCUACGGGAGGCAGCAGUGGGGAAUAUUGCACAAUGGGGGAAACCCUGAUGCAGCGACGCCGCGUGAGCGAAGAAGUAUUUCGGUAUGUAAAGCUCUAUCAGCAGGGAAGAAAAUGACGGUACCUGACUAAGAAGCACCGGCUAAAUACGUG
rnacentral:rRNA from 1 species